rnacentral:rRNA from 1 species
UACGUAGGGUGCGAGCGUUAAUCGGAAUUACUGGGCGUAAAGCGUGCGCAGGCUGUUUUGUAAGUCAGAUGUGAAAUCCCUGGGCUCAACCUAGGAACUGCGUUUGAAACUACAAGGCUAGAGUGUAGCAGAGGGGGGUAGAAUUCCACGUGUAGCAGUGAAAUGCGUAGAGAUGUGGAGGAAUACCAAUGGCGAAGGCAGCCCCCUGGGUUAAC